rnacentral:rRNA from 1 species
GCACAAUGGGCGCAAGCCUGAUGCAGCGACGCCGCGUGAGGGAUGGAGGCCUUCGGGUUGUAAACCUCUUUCGCCAGUGAAGCAGGCCUGCUCCCUGUGGGUGGGUUGACGGUAGCUGGAUAAGAAGCGCCGGCUAACUACGUGCCAGCAGCCGCGGUAAUACGUAGGGCGCGAGCGUUGUCCGGAAUUAUUGGGCGUAAAGAGCUCGUAGGCGGCUGGUCGCGUCUGUCGUGAAAUCCUCUGGCUUAACUGGGGGCUUGCGGUGGGUACGGGCCGGCUUGAGUGCGGUAGGGGAGACUGGAACUCCUGGUGUAGCGGUGGAAUGCGCAGAUAUCAGGAAGAACACCGGUGGCGAAGGCGGGUCUCUGGGCCGUUACUGACGCUGAGGAGCGAAAG